CGACCUCAGGUCAGACGUGGCGACCCGCUGAAUUUAAGCAUAUUAGUCAGCGGAGGAAAAGAAACUAACGAGGAUUCCCUCAGUAACGGCGAGUGAAGAGGGAAGAGCCAGCGCCGAAUCCCGCCCGCGGUGGGGCGCGGGAGGUGUGGCGUACGGAAGCCCCAUCCCCGGCGCCGCUCUCGGGGGGCCAAGUCCUUCUGAUCGAGGCCCAGCCGCGGACGGUGUGAGGCCGGUAGCGGCCCCCCGGCGCGCCGGGCCCGGGGCUUCUCGGAGUCGGGUUGCUUGGGAAUGCAGCCCAAAGCGGGUGGUAAACUCCAUCUAAGGCUAAAUACCGGCACGAGACCGAUAGCCAAACAAGUACCGUAAGGGAAAGUUGAAAAAGAAUUGAAGAGAGAGUCAAGAGGGCGUGAAACCGUUAAGAGGUAAACGGGUGGGGUCCGCGCAGUCGGCCCGGAGGAUUCAACCCGGCGGGCCAGGUCGGCCGGCGCGGGCGCCGUCGGAUCCCGCCUCCGCCUCCCUCCGUCCCUCCCCCUCGCCGGGGCGGGGCGGCCCAGGGGGGCGGGCGGGCCGGGACCGCCGCCCGGCCGGCGUCGGCCCCCGUCGGCGCAUUUCCUCCGCGGCGGUGCGCCGCGACCGGCUCCGGGACGGCUGGGAAGGGCUGCGGCGGGCAGGGGCCGGCGCCGCGCGAGCGGCCGCCGGGUGUUAUAGCCGCCGGGCCCGGAUCGGCGCCGAAUCCGGGCCGAGGAGAGGACCGCCGCGCGCCCCCCCCCGGAGGGGCGCCCCCGGAGGGCCCCGCGGCCGGACCGGCGUCGGCCGGCGCGCCGCGCGCGCGUCCGCGCCGCCCGCCGUACGCCGCCGCUCGCUCUCCUCCGUCCCCGCCCCCGGGUCCGUCCCGGGCGCGGGGGCGGGGGGGGUCGGGUGUCCGGCGCGCGCUCGGCGCGGCGCCGCGCGUGUGGCGCGCGCUCCAGCCCGGCGCGGGCGAGGCCGCGGGGGGCGCCGGGGGGGAACCUUCCCCCUUUCUGUUCGGGCCGCCUCCGUUCCCGCGGGGGGCGGCCCGUUCGGGGGACGGGCCCGCCGGCCCCCGGCGCCGCUGUCCGACCGGGGCGGACUGCGCUCAGUGCGCCCGACCGCGCGGCGCCGCCGGGCGGGCUCGGGCCACGCCAGGGCGCCGGGGUCCGCGGCGACGUCGGCUACCCACCCGACCCGUCUUGAAACACGGACCAAGGAGUCUAGCACGCGCGCGAGUCGGCGGCUCGCGCGAAGCCGCGGCGCAAUGAAGGUGAGGGCGGCGCGCGCGGCUGGGGGGACCGGGGCGGGGGCGGAAGGCCGGGCGCACCACCGGGCCGUCUCGCGCCUCGCCGGGGGGUGGAGAUGGCGGCGGCUAGGACCGAGAUGGUGACUAUGCCGGCAGGGCGAAGCCAGGGAACUCUGGUGGAGGUCCGUAGCGUCCUGACGUGCAACGGUCGUCCGACCGGGAUAGGGGCGAAAGACUAAUCGAACCUCUAGUAGCUGGUUCCUCCGACAGUUUCCCUCAGGAUAGCUGGCGCUCGGGGCGGCGGUGCAGUUUUACCCGGUAAGCGAAUGAUUAGAGGUCUUGGGGGCCGAAACGAUCUCAACCUAUCUCAAACUUUCAAUGGGUAAGACGCCCGGCUCGCUGGCGUGGAGCCGGGCCGUGGAAUGCGAGCGCUCAGUGGGCCACUUUUGGUAAGCAGAACUGGCGCUGCGGGAUGACCGAACGCCGGGUUAAGGCGCCCGAUGCCGACGCUCAUCAGAGCCCAGAAAAGGUGUUGGUUGAUCUAGACAGCAGGACGGUGGCCAUGGAAGUCGGAACCCGUAAGGAGUGUGUAACAACUCACCUGCCGAAUCAAACUAGCCCUGAAAAUGGAUGGCGCUGGAGCGUCGGGCCCAUACCCGGCCGUCGCCGGCGGUGCGGAGCCGCGGGGCUACGCCGCGACGAGAGGGGGCCCGCGGUGCGCCUGGAAGCCUGGCGCGGGCCCGGUAGCCGCCGCAGGUGCAGAUCUUGGCGGUAGUAGCAACUAUUCAACGAGAGCUUUGAAGGCCGAAGUGGAGCAGGGUUCCAUGUGAACAGCAGUUGAACAUGGGUCAGUCCGUCCUAGCGAUAGCGAGCGCCGUUCCGAAGGACGGGCGAUGGCCUCCGUUGCCCUCAGCCGAUCGAAAGGGAGUCGGGUUCAGAUCCCCGAAUCCGGGCGGCGGAGACGCGCCGCGAGGCGCCCAGUGCGUAACCAAGCGAUCCGGAGAAGCCGGCGGGAGCCCCGGGGAAGUUCUCUUUUCUUUGUGAAGGGCCGGGCGCCCUGGAACGGGUUCGCGCCCCGAGAGAGGGGCCCGCGCCUUGGAAAGCGUCGCGGUUCCGGCGGCGUCCGUGACUCUCGCUGGCCCGUGAAAAUCCGGGGGAGAGGGUGUAAAUCUCGCGCCGGGCCGUACCCAUAUCCGCAGCAGGUCUCCAAGGUGAACAGCCUCUGGCAUGUUGGACCAAUGUAGGUAAGGGAAGUCGGCAAGCCGGAUCCGUAACUUCGGGAUAAGGAUUGGCUCUAAGGGCUGGGUCGGUCGGGCUGGGGCGCGAAGCGGGCUGGCGCGCGCCGCGGCUGGACGAGCGCCGCCCGCCCCCGCCCCCCUUUCCCCGCUCCCGCUCCCGGGCCCGGGGUCAGCGGGCGCGCGGGGCGGCGACUCUGGACCGCGCCGGCCCCUUCCCGUGGAUCGCCCCAGCUGCGGCGCCGCUCGCCCCCCCUUGCCCUCCGCCCCCCCCCCGGCGCCCUCCGUCGGCCGUCGUCCCGGCCCCCCGUCCCGAGCGCUCCUCCCGCCGAGGCGCGAGGGCGGCGGCGGCCGCGGGGCGCGGCGGCGGGGGCCGGCGGCGCGCGGGGGGGCGGUCCGGGGGCGGGGUCUCCGGGCGGCGCCCGUCGGCCGGCGCCUAGCAGCCGGCUUAGACUGGUGCGGACCAGGGGAACCGACUGUUUAAAACAAAGCAUCAGAAGGCCCGGCGGCGGGUGUUGACGCGAUGUGAUUUGUCUGCCCAGUGCUCUGAAUGUCAAAGUGAAAGAAAUUCAAUGAAAGCGCGGGUAACACGGCGGGAGUAACUAUGACUCUCUUAAGGUAGCCAAAAUGCCUUCGUCAUCUAAUUAGUUGGACGCGCAUGAAUGGAUGAACGAGAUUCCCACUGUCCCCUACCUACUCUCCAGCGAAACCACAGCCAAGGGAACGGGCUGGCAAUAUGGGACCGGAAUCAGCGCGGUGAAAGAGACAUGGAAGACGGUGUGAUAGAGCUUGAGCUUCUAGGUCCUGCGGCGGCGGCCGCCGGUGAAUAUACCACUACUGUGAGUUUUUCUUACCGGUGAGGCGGUGGGGGCGAGCCAGCUCUCGCCUGCUCCAGACGGCGACCGGCGGACGCUCCGACAGGCAGUGGGGAGUUGCCUGGGCGUACACUGCAAUAAGAUGUUAACACUAAAAGUCCGGGACAAAGGCGCCGCUGAUCGAUCAGUACGAUACACGUCGCUAUCGUUUCUGAUCCUGGGUUUCGGAGGUAGGUCCGGGACAUGGCUUGUGCCCAUAUCAUAGCUGCUUUGACAUGCGCAGUCAAUUGUACACUCCCAAGCGUUGGAUUGGUUCACCCACUAAUAGGAAACGUGAGCUGGGUUUAGACCGUCGUGAGACAGGUUAGUUUUUACCCUAUCUGAUGAUGUGUUGUUGCGCUAGUAAUCCUGCUCAGUACGGAGGAACCGCAGGUUCAGAGCAUUUGGUGUAUGUGCUUGGCUGAGGAGCCACUGGAGCGAGGCAUACACAUCCUGUGGGAUUAUGACUUGAACGCUCCUAAAGUCAGAAUCCCCACCUAAAACGUAGCGAUACCGCAGC
rfam:Gallus gallus breed Red Jungle fowl, inbred line TCD001 Contig1213.1, whole genome shotgun sequence. [11-NOV-2016]